rnacentral:lncRNA from 1 species
AUUUCCUUUCCGUGCAAAAUUAUAUGAUAAAUAAUUUAUGUUGUUGCAGAGAUAAAAGGAACUAUAAGUGAAUUACUAGAGAAACAUGAAAACCAUGAUAAGAAAAAAGACAAAUCAGAUGAAGAUUCAAGAAAUAAAAAAGUGUCAUCUUCAAAUGCUAGCAAGACUAAGGAUAAAUAACGUCAAAUGAAAUUUUCAAGACCAAAUGAAGAAUAUUCUAGACAGGGGCGGAUC